rnacentral:lncRNA from 1 species
UUAAAUUUAUAGUUGAAUUUGCCCUAGUGGUAGUACAUAAAUAUGAGAAUCCUCGUUUCUAGGAGUGCGAAAUGCAAUCUGAAGUGCAGAAGAGCAACUAGCACGGAACCCCGCCUAAUCGCAAACAAGGACCCAAAAUAGUAUUUUCUCUAAACAUCAACGCCUUGUUCGCGAAAACAUCCCAGAAAAUAUCGAAUAUAUCCCCAUCGUCCCAUUUAUCCGCGUCCAUCUUUCUCCUCUUCCCCUCGCGGCGGCGUCGUGGGUGGAACCCGCUCCAGGCAUUCUUCCACCGAAGAUCGGGACGAUUUCUCUUGUAGGUGACGAACCCUAACUUGUUUGGAUUUGCUCCCAUCUUUUCUCCUGAUCUAAUUCUCUGUUUCUCUUCGAUCGAUACGUCCAGUUUUCCGCGGCUAGAUUUGGCGUCGGGAGAGGGAAUUCGAUCUGAAAAUGGGGCUGUUCCGGGCCGCGUCGGGUUUAGCCCGGGUGGCGCUGCGGAGGAGCCUGUCGCGCGCUCCGGCGAGCCCGUUCGCCGGCCCCGCGCCNNNNN